GCCUUAGCUAAAAAUACAACAUAGGGGUAAAAUGCAGUUUUUGGCUUAUAUCUAAAAAAAACAAAGCAGUUAGAGCAAAUCUGACAAGGGGUUAAAGUGUUCAUGAGGUAACAUUCUAUCAGCCCUGAAAUUUUCAGAUGAAUCUAAUAACCCAUUGUUGGGUUGCUGCCACAAAAUUGGUAAUUUUAAGGAAAUUUUGCAGUUUUUGGUUAUUAUCUUG
rnacentral:lncRNA from 1 species